rnacentral:rRNA from 1 species
AGAGUUUGAUCCUGGCUCAGAGCGAACGCUGGCGGCAGGCCUAACACAUGCAAGUCGAGCGCGUGUAGCAAUACACGAGCGGCAGACGGGAGAGUAACACGUGGGAACGUACCCUUCGGUUCGGAAUAACCCAGGGAAACUUGGACUAAUACCGGAUACGUCCGAAAGGAGAAAGAUUUAUCGCCGAAGGAUCGGCCCGCGGCUGAUUAGCUAGUUGGUGAGGUAACGGCUCACCAAGGCGACGAUCGGUAGCUGGUCUGAGAGGAUGAUCAGCCUCACUGGGACUGAGACACGGCCCAGACUCCUACGGGAGGCAGCAGUGGGGAAUAUUGGACAAUGGGCGCAAGCCUGAUCCAGCCAUGCCGCGUGGGUGAUGAAGGCCCUAGGGUUGUAAAGCCCUUUCGGCGGGGAAGAUAAUGACGGUACCCGCAGAAGAAGCCCCGGCUAACUUCGUGCCAGCAGCCGCGGUAAUACGAAGGGGGCUAGCGUUGCUCGGAAUCACUGGGCGUAAAGCGCACGUAGGCGGAUCGUUAAGUCGGAGGUGAAAUCCUGGAGCUC